rnacentral:rRNA from 1 species
GAUGAACGCUAGCGGCAGGCUUAAUACAUGCAAGUCGAGGGGCAGCGCAGUGUAGCAAUACAUGGGCGGCGACCGGCAAACGGGUGCGGAACACGUACACAACCUUCCUUUCAGCGGGGAAUAGCCCAGAGAAAUUUGGAUUAAUACCCCAUAGUACUAGAUGGUGGCAUCACUGACUAGUUAAAGAUUUAUCACUGAAAGAUGGGUGUGCGUCUGAUUAGGUAGUUGGUGAGGUAACGGCUCACCAAGCCGACGAUCAGUAACUGGUGUGAGAGCACGACCAGUCACACGGGAACUGAGACACGGGCCCGACUCCUACGGGAGGCAGCAGUAAGGAAUAUUGGUCAAUGGACGGAAGUCUGAACCAGCCAUGCCGCGUGGAGGAUGAAGGUCCUCUGGAUUGUAAACUUCUUUUAUCAGGGAAGAAAUGCCGACUUUCUAGUUGGUUUGACGGUACCUGAUGAAUAAGCACCGGCUAACUCCGUGCCAGCCGCCGCCGUAAGAC